rnacentral:hammerhead_ribozyme from 1 species
AGCCAGAUGAUGAGUCCCAAAUGGGACGAAAUGCGCAUUGUCCUGGAU